rnacentral:misc_RNA from 1 species
GCAUCACGCAAGAAACAGAAAACAUCACAGUCAGUUGCUUCAUUGUCCGUGGGUGCACCUUCACCUGCAUUGCCAUCUAUGCAACCAUCUUCAUCAGCCCUAAGACGGGGUCUGCCGCCAGGGUCUAGAAGCAAGAAACCCAAAUCAUCCAUGCAGUAUCCUUCUACAGGUUUGGGUGGAAGAGCACAAGCUGCAAUUCGGAGUUCUUCAGGUGCAUUUGCAACUAAUGACCCUGCAGAAGCAACCAGUUAUGAUCCAUUGAUCGGAAGGAAAGUUUGGACUCGGUGGCCUGAAGAUAACCAAUACUAUCAGGCUGUUAUAACCGACUACAAUCCAGUUGAGGGGAGGCAUGCUUUGGU